rnacentral:rRNA from 1 species
UUGAACGCUGGCGGCAGGCCUAACACAUGCAAGUCGAGCGGAUGAAGGGAGCUUGCUCCUGGAUUCAGCGGCGGACGGGUGAGUAAUGCCUAGGAAUCUGCCUGGUAGUGGGGGAUAACGUCCGGAAACGGGCGCUAAUACCGCAUACGUCCUGAGGGAGAAAGUGGGGGAUCUUCGGACCUCACGCUAUCAGAUGAGCCUAGGUCGGAUUAGCUAGUUGGUGGGGUAAAGGCCUACCAAGGCGACGAUCCGUAACUGGUCUGAGAGGAUGAUCAGUCACACUGGAACUGAGACACGGUCCAGACUCCUACGGGAGGCAGCAGUGGGGAAUAUUGGACAAUGGGCGAAAGCCUGAUCCAGCCAUGCCGCGUGUGUGAAGAAGGUCUUCGGAUUGUAAAGCACUUUAAGUUCGGAGGAAGGGCAGUAAGUUAAUACCUUGCUGUUUUGACGUUACCAACAGAAUAAGCACCGGCUAACUUCGUG